rnacentral:rRNA from 1 species
UACGUAGGAGGCAAGCGUUAUCCGGAUUUACUGGGCGUAAAGGGCGUGUAGGCGGCCCGUUAAGUGGUGUAUGAAAGGGCUCGGCUCAACUGGGAGAGGGCAUGCCAGACUGAGGGGCUAGAGAGCGAGAGAGGGAGGUGGAAUUCCGGGUGUAGUGGUGAAAUGCGUAGAUAUCCGGAGGAACACCAGUGGCGAAGGCGGCCUCCUGGGCCGCAUCUGACGCUGAGACGCGACAGCCAGGGGAGCGAAC